UACGUAGGGGGCUAGCGUUGUCCGGAUUUAUUGGGCGUAAAGAGCGUGUAGGCGGCUUUACAGGUCCGUUGUGAAAACUCGAGGCUCAACCUCGAGACGCCGGUGGAAACCGUAAAGCUAGAGUCCGGAAGAGGAGAGUGGAAUUCCUGGUGUAGCGGUGAAAUGCGCAGAUAUCAGGAGGAACACCCGUGGCGAAAGCGGCUCUCUGGGACGGUACUGACGCUGAGACGCGAAAGCGUGGGGAGCAAACAGG
rnacentral:rRNA from 1 species